UUGUAUUUGCGAAUGUGUUCUCACAUCCGUUGUAAACCAUGUACAACCCUGCCCGGCCUUGCCUCCGUAGCCGUGGGGGUGUAGGUGGUCAUAURUAUGUUAUUUUGAGGAUUUGGGAGGCACAUACUAGGUACACCGGGGCGUCUUCUGCGUUGGGGGGGGGGGUGGAAGGUGGGUCAAUAUAAGGUCAGUCAAACAAGAAUACGACUUACGAUCACCAAAAAGGGUGGAGGUGUCCUUGGGGGUCCUUCCCCAGCGGGCUCUUGCAAUUGUGYUUCUGACCUAUCAACUAGACGGCAGCGUAAGGGACAUGCCUACUGGUGACAACGGUA
rnacentral:rRNA from 1 species